CUUCUUKGUCAUUUCUCCUUUGUUCGUUGCUGCGUUCGCGCGCGUCCCAACGAUCUGCUUGUUAUAAAAUUGUUUUUACCGCCAUUUAAUUAUUGUGUUCACUCCGUUUUCCACAAGUUGUCUACCGGUGUCGUCGCCGCAGUGAAUAACAGCGUUUUGCGGUUAUUCUUUUAAGUAAAGCCUCUACGUCGUGGAGCCUAUGGUCAACGGCAUUGUUUCAGGAUUUUUGAGCAAUCGUUUCAAGCAGACUAACAGUUUUCCACUCAGUCUCUGAACCACGAAUGAAUCCAACUACUCUUGGUUGAAACGGUUUUCUCUGGGACAUUAAGAUCAAAUUCAAUCAAGGUUGUCUCUUUUACUUAAAUCGACAACAGAUACCACACGCAAUUCCAAGUCUUGCAUUAUCAAAGAACUAUUCUUCAAA